rnacentral:rRNA from 1 species
UACACACCGCCCGUCACACCAUGGGAGCGGGCUGCUACAGAAGUCGCCGCGCCAACCCGCGGGGGGGCAGGCGCCUAAGAAGUGGUCCGUGACUGGGGUG